UACAACUAUGCUGAAUUCAGCACUUACCCCACCCAUGGCCAGUGCUGGCCCAAAAGGCUGUCACAGAUGUGACUCAUGGGCUCUGGGGCUCUCCUGGAUUCGGCGAUAACUCUGGUCACAGACACCA